CCUACGGGGGGCUGCAGUGAGGAAUAUUGGUCAAUGGGGGAAACCCUGAAGCAGCAACGCCGCGUGGAGGAUGAAGGUUUUCGGAUUGUAAACUCCUUUUGUUAGAGAAGAUAAUGACGGUAUCUAACGAAUAAGCACCGGCUAACUCCGUGCCAGCAGCCGCGGUAAUACGGAGGGUGCAAGCGUUACUCGGAAUCACUGGGCGUAAAGGGCGCGUAGGCGGGAUAGCAAGUCAGAUGUGAAAUCCUAUGGCUUAACCAUAGAACUGCAUUUGAAACUGUUAUUCUAGAGUAUGGGAGAGGUAGGUGGAAUGCUUGGUGUAGGGGUAAAAUCCGUAGAGAUCAAGAAGAAUACUCAUUGCGAAGGCGACCUGCUAGAACAUAACUGACGCUGAUGCGCGAAAGCGUGGGGAGCAAACAGGAUUAGAUACCCGGGUAGUC
rnacentral:rRNA from 1 species